UACGAAGGGGGCUAGCGUUGCUCGGAAUCACUGGGCGUAAAGGGUGCGUAGGCGGGUGUUUAAGUCAGGGGGGAAAUCCUGGAGCUCAACUCCAGAACUGCCUUUGAUACUGAGGAUCUUGAGUCCGGGAGAGGUGAGUGGAACUGCGAGUGUAGAGGUGAAAUUCGUAGAUAUUCGCAAGAACACCAGUGGCGAAGGCGGCUCACUGGCCCGGUACUGACGCUGAGGCACGAAAGCGUGGGGAGCAAACAGG
rnacentral:rRNA from 1 species